rnacentral:rRNA from 1 species
GUCACGAAAGUUGGUAACACCCGACGCCGGUGGCCUAACCCUUGUGGGGGGAGCCGUCGAAGGAGGGACCGGCGAUUGUGACUAAGUCGUAACAAGGUAGCCGUACCGGAAGGUGCGGCUGGAUCACCUCCUUU